rnacentral:rRNA from 1 species
UACAGAGGGGGCAAGCGUUGUUCGGAAUUACUGGGCGUAAAGGGCGCGUAGGCGGCCUGUUAAGUCGGACGUGAAAUCCCCGGGCUCAACCCGGGAACUGCGUCCGAUACUGGCAGGCUUGAAUCCGGGAGAGGGAUGUGGAAUUCCAGGUGUAGCGGUGAAAUGCGCAGAUAUCGGGAGGAACACCAAUGGCGAAGGCAGCUCGCUGGGACGUGACUGACGCUGAGACGCGAAAGCGUGGGGAGCAAACAGG